AGAUGUGAUGAUAGCUUCUGACGCCCAGUUUUACUUGCAUGGUUGAUGUAAUAUGGUGUAUUUCAAUGAUAAUGAUUAUCUGAUCU